AAAAUUUUAGGUUAUUUAAACUUUAAACUUUCAAAGUUUAAAAUAUAUAUUAUAAUUUAUAUAAAUUUUG
rnacentral:tRNA from 1 species